rnacentral:rRNA from 1 species
AGCGACACUUUCGCAAGCCGCACGAGAAAGAGCAAUAACAGGUCUGUGAUGCCCUUAGAUGUACGGGGCUGCACGCGUGCUACACUGACGGCGUCAGCGUGCGUUCAAGCCCGGCCUGGCAAGGCCAGGAAAUCGGUUGAAACGUUCUCGUGACUGGGACAGAGAAUUGCAAUUAUUUCCCUCGAACGAGGAAUUCCCAGUAAGCGCGAGUCAUCAGCUUGCGUUGACUACGUCCCUGCCCUUUGUACACACCGCCCGUCGCUACUACCGAUUGGAUGACUUAGUGAGGCCUUUGGACCGAUGCCGCCGGUGUUCGGCCGUCAGGUUGAACCACGGCGUUGGAA